AGUGAACGCUGGCGGUAGGCCUAACACAUGCAAGUCGAACGGCAGCACAGAGGAGCUUGCUCCUUGGGUGGCGAGUGGCGGACGGGUGAGGAAUACAUCGGAAUCUACUCUGUCGUGGGGGAUAACGUAGGGAAACUUACGCUAAUACCGCAUACGACCUACGGGUGAAAGCAGGGGAUCUUCGGACCUUGCGCGAUUGAAUGAGCCGAUGUCGGAUUAGCUAGUUGGCGGGGUAAAGGCCCACCAAGGCGACGAUCCGUAGCUGGUCUGAGAGGAGGAUCAGCCACACUGGAACUGGGACACGGUCCAGACUCCUACGGGAGGCAGCAGUGGGGAAUAUUGGACAAUGGGCGCAAGCCUGAUCCAGCCAUACCGCGUGGGUGAAGAAGGCCUUCGGGUUGUAAAGCCCUUUUGUUGGGAAAGAAAUCCAUCUGGUUAAUACCCGGGUGGGAUGACGGUACCCAAAGAAUAAGCACCGGCUAACUUCGUGCAAGCCGCCGCCGUAA
rnacentral:rRNA from 1 species